UUAAAUUUCUUUUUUGGAUUAGCGGAUUUUUUUUAUUUACCCUUGUCUUUAUCUACCAUCUAUAUCAAUUAAAUAUAAAGAUUAAAACAAAGUAGUACAAAAUAAUGUCACAAUGUCGAACAAAUAUAUCAAACAAAGUUAUCAUAACAUAAGGCUUAAUCCAAACAGUCUUUCACAAUGUCGAACAAAAGUUAAAACUACUAAAAUAUAAAGUAUACUCAAAUAUGAAUAGCUAAAAAUC
rnacentral:lncRNA from 1 species